rnacentral:lncRNA from 1 species
AACAACUGAACUAUUUAUACUGAUCUAAGGCAAGACAAAUUAAUUACAUUUCUAACAUUUACAAAUCUGGCGAAUCAUAAUACAAUCAUCAAGAGGGAUAACAAACAUGAAUCCUUAAAUAUUUACAUGCAUUGUUCAUAAAGCUAAUUAAACUGAAAAGGACAUAACCAAUAUUGUGUUUAAACCCCUUCCAUGGAUGACUCCAAAUCCACCUUUUAGACUUAAAUUCACCAAUCUGAUCCAACUGGUGGUCAAAUCUGCAAGCCAUAGCCAUGUAGCCAGCACUAAGCCCUCUCAAACUCAACAAAAAUCCGCUUACUUCAACAAAACCACUCUAUAGUAAAACCUUUUGAUUAAUACUGAUUCUGCAAGGUUCAAACAAGCCUGAAACUAUAGAAAAUUUAAUAGUUGACAUUACAUACUCCAAGUGUUGUUAAUAGCUAUCUACACUAACAUUUAGAAUUAAGCAAUCUUGGUCACUUUCCAACUUACAAUCAGCUAGUUUAUACCUGAAAUAUCAACUCUAAAACAGACCCAAAUCACAACAUAGUCAAGCUGAACAUGAGAUAGUUCGACAACUCUCAAGGUAACCACACUAAUUCAAGUGACCAAAUAGUAGAGCAAAAGGAUUCUGAUUUUCCUUUAUUUCAAAGCCAAACAAACAGAAGAAACACACAUGAGUUAAUUAAGUCAAGGGCUGUUAGUUUACACAAUAAGCAUAAGGGAAUGAUGAUGGAAAAUCAGAAUUUUUCAUGGAACAAGUAAAGAAAUCAACUUAUUCAUGUCAAAAUAAACUCAAAUUUAAGGUAAAUACCUGAUUACAGCAAGAUAGACAAAUAGAAAAUAAAUCUCUUGCUUUGGAGAAGAAGUAAAGAAAACUAUAAAUAGUAAAACAACAGCAGCAGACCAAUAGCAGCAAAACCAGAGUAAGUUGAGCUAAAUGAUCUUUUUAAUAAUAGAAAUAGUAAACCAUCCCAACAAAGAACUAUUUUAUGUUUCUAAAUAUAGCUUUGAGACCCAGAAAAAGGAAAGAAAUCAGUAGGAAAAUGGAGGUGCUUUUUCCAGAAUUCCUUGUAUUCAAAGAGGCUUUUAGAGUGCAUAUGCUGCUG